rnacentral:rRNA from 1 species
GCGGCGUGGAUAAGACAUGCAAGUCGAACGAAGAAUAUUCGGUAGCAAUAACUGGGUAUUUUUAGUGGCGAAAGGGUGCGUAACACGUGGGUAAUCUACCGUAAAGUUCGGAAUAACUUCGAGAAAUCAAAGCUAAUACCGAAUGUGAUCUGACAGGGACAUCCCUGUUCCAUUAAAGCUGGGGACCUUCGGGCCUGGCGCUUUACGAUGAGCCCGCGCCCUAUCAGCUUGUUGGUGAGGUAAAAGCUCACCAAGGCUAAGACGGGUAGCCGGUCUGAGAGGACGAUCGGCCACACUGGAACUGAGACACGGUCCAGACACCUACGGGUGGCAGCAGUCGAGAAUCAUUCACAAUGGGGGAAACCCUGAUGGUGCGACGCCGCGUGGGGGAUGAAGGUCUUCGGAUUGUAAACCCCUGUCAUUUGUGAACAAACCUUUUGGUUUAAUAGAUCAAAAGCUGAUAGUAGCAAAAGAGGAAGGGACGGCUAACUCCGUGCCAGCAGCCGCGGUAAUACGGAGGUCCCAAGCGUUGUUCGGAUUUACUGGGCGUAAAGGGUGCGUAGGUGGCCAGGAAAGUUUGAUGUGAAAGCUCCGAGCUCAACUCGGAAAAUGCAUUGAAUACUACUUGGCUUGAGGAUCGGAGGGGAGACUGGAAUUCUCGGUGUAGCAGUGAAAUGCGUAGAUAUCGAGAGGAACACCAGUGGCGAAGGCGAGUCUCUGGACGAUCCUGA